GUGUUCACUUUGGCAACACAUAUACUAAUAUUGGAACAAUACAUAGAAGAUUAGCAUGGCUUCUGCACAAGGAUAACAUGCAAAUUCAUGAAGCAUUUCAUAUUUUA